rnacentral:rRNA from 1 species
CGAACGGGUGAGUAACGCGUGAGCAACCUGCCUCAUACAACGGGAUACCCGAGGGAAACCUCGGUUAAUACGGUAUAAGACCACACUACCGCAUGGUAGAGGGGUAAAAGGAGAAAUCCGGUAUGAGAUGGGCUCGCGUCGCAUUAGCUAGUUGGUGAGGUAACGGCCCACCAAGGCGACGAUGCGUAGCCGACCUGAGAGGGUGAUCGGCCACAUUGGGACUGAGAUACGGCCCAGACUCCUACGGAAGGCAGCAG